UUUUUGUUGGACCUCAAUAGAAUUCAAGGCAAAUACAACAUAUAAAUAAUAAAACCCAACAACAAAUACAUAAUUUAAACCAAAUGAAAAAGAGCAUAUCUUCCUGUUCAUUCAUUUUCAAGUGAAGGAUUGUUUGUUUUAAAAAAAUAUUUAUUCAAAGAUCCUACUUUUAGACUUUGAGCAAGCUCUUCUUCUUUUUCUUUUUCUAUCUUUUUAAUUUCCAGAUACAAAUCUCAAAAACCACAUCAACACAUAAUAAGGCUAGAAACAAU
rnacentral:lncRNA from 1 species